UUUUAUGGAGAGUUUGAUCUUGGCUCAGGACGAACGCUGGCGGCGUGCCUAAUACAUGCAAGUCGAGCGCGGGAAGCAGACUGAAGCCUUCGGGCG
rnacentral:rRNA from 1 species